rnacentral:rRNA from 1 species
CCUACGGGUGGCAGCAGUGGGGAAUUUUCCGCAAUGGGCGAAAGCCUGACGGAGCAAGACCGCGUGGGGGAGGAAGGCCCUUGGGUUGUAAACCCCUUUUCUCAGGGAAGAAAAAAAUGACGGUACCUGAGGAAUCAGCCUCGGCUAACUCCGUGCCAGCAGCCGCGGUAAUACGGAGGAGGCAAGCGUUAUCCGGAAUCAUUGGGCGUAAAGCGUCCGCAGGUGGCUAAUCAAGUCCGCGGUUAAAGACCGGAGCUCAACUCCGGAAAAGCCGUAGAAACUGAAAAGCUAGAGGUCGGUAGGGGUAGCGGGAAUUCCCAGUGUAGCGGUGAAAUGCGUAGAGAUUGGGAAGAACAUCGGUGGCGAAAGCGCGCUACUGGGCCGAACCUGACACUGAGGGACGAAAGCUAGGGGAGCGAAAGGGAUUAGAUACCCUAGUAGUC